rnacentral:rRNA from 1 species
AGAGUUUGAUCAUGGCUCAGGAUGAACGCUAGCUACAGGCUUAACACAUGCAAGUCGAGGGGAAACGACAUCGAAAGCUUGCUUUUGAUGGGCGUCGACCGGCGCACGGGUGAGUAACGCGUAUCCAACCUGCCCAUCACUUGGGGAUAACCUUGCGAAAGUAAGACUAAUACCCAAUGACGUCUCUAGAAGACAUCUGAAAGAGAUUAAAGAUUUAUCGGUGAUGGAUGGGGAUGCGUCUGAUUAGCUUGUUGGCGGGGUAACGGCCACCAAGGCGACGAUCAGUAGGGGUUCUGAGAGGAAGGUCCCCCANAUUGGAACUGAGACACGGUCCAAACUCCUACGGGGAGGCA